rnacentral:rRNA from 1 species
AUUGAACGCUGGCGGCAUGCCUUACACAUGCAAGUCGAACGGUAACAGGUCUUCGGAUGCUGACGAGUGGCGAACGGGUGAGUAAUACAUCGGAACGUGCCUAGUAGUGGGGGAUAACUACUCGAAAGAGUGGCUAAUACCGCCUGAGAUCUACGGAUGAAAGCAGGGGAUCGCAAGACCUUGUGCUACUAGAGCGGCCGAUGGCAGAUUAGGUAGUUGGUGGGAUAAAAGCUUACCAAGCCGACGAUCUGUAGCUGGUCUGAGAGGACGAUCAGCCACACUGGGACUGAGACACGGCCCAGACUCCUACGGGAGGCAGCAGUGGGGAAUUUUGGACAAUGGGCGCAAGCCUGAUCCAGCAAUGCCGCGUGCAGGAUGAAGGCCUUCGGGUUGUAAACUGCUUUUGUACGGAACGAAAAGCCCUGGAUUAAUACCCUGGGGUCAUGACGGUACCGUAAGAAGAAGCCCCGGCUAACUUCGUGCCAGCCGCCGCAGUAAUAC